rnacentral:rRNA from 1 species
CUUGGUCAUUUAGAGGAAGUAAAAGUCGUAACAAGGUCUCCGUAGGUGAACCUGCGGAGGGAUCAUUAACGAAUGGCCCUAGGCCUUCAACCUUGUAAACCUGUGGAAGCAAAACGUGCUUUGGCGCUUUCGGGCGCCAACUUUAUGCUUAGAUCAGUCUUGAUGUCUGAAUCAAAAACAAGAAAUAAAACUUUCAACAAAGGAUCUCUUGGCUCUCGCAUCGAUGAAGAACGCAGCGAAGCGCGAAAUGUAGUGUGAAUCGCAGAACAUUGUGAAUCAUCGAAUCUUUGAACGCACAUUGCGCCCCUUGGUAUUCCGGGGGGCAUGCCUGUUCGAGCGUCAUUACAACCCUCAAGCUUUGCUUGGUAUUGGGCAUUGCCAGUUUCUGGCAGGCCUUAAAAUCAGUGGCGGUGCCAUUCGGCUUCAAGCGUAGUAAUUUUUCUCGCUUUGGAGACCCGUCUGGUUACUAGCCAACAACCCCCAAUUUUUUCAGGUUGACCUCGGAUCAGGUAGGGAUACCCGCUGAACUUAAGCAUAUCAAUAAGCGGAGGA